GCCGAAGUGGCGGAAUUGGUAGACGCGCCAGGUUCAGGGUCUGGUGGGUGUACGCCUGUCCGGGUUCAAAUCCCGGCUUCGGCACCA
rnacentral:tRNA from 3 species